AUGAAGAUCAAAGAUUUGGUAAAGUAUGAAUCACAAUAGGCAUUGUUACGUACACCCCCUGUUUUCUAGAUGACAUCAGCAAUGUGACGUCACGGAGUGGUGAUGACGCAACAGAAGAACCCACUUCAACAUGGUAUGUGACGUCACAGAGGAUCAAGAGGACCAGGCGCAAAGCAGGAAUAAAGAAAAGUCAGCGUAUAUGCUGCAGAAGAAAAGCGCAAGACAAAGAGCAAAGACGACGAUAAAGAUGCCGGUUUGAGGUUUUGCUUAGGCUUAGAAGUUGUGUGUUGUUGGGGUGUGGUUGCUGGAGCACUCUUACAGUGUUGCCGGAUUAGUGUUUGUGACUCAAUUUUGCUGGACCUAAUGUGGCCAGCCUUUUUGUCAGUCACUACUUUAGUGCAUUUUGCAUGUCACUGAAAUAUAUGCAAUGAAACUAUGGCGAACAUCUUGCUGGAUCGGAUUUUGUUGUUGUACACGUCAUUAUCUGCUUCCUCUGCAAAGGUCGAAUCUUUUAAUGAUUCUGCAUUGUCCUAAUCACUUGAUCGGAACGGCAUGUUGGUACACAAAUACUCGAGUAAUAUCAACGCGCAUUAUAAUAUACACGCAGUUAAAACUUAUACAUUUGAUAUUCCUUAAUUGUUCAUUAGUUAAUUGUCCCCGUUAACCUGUUUCUAUUUUUUUACAAAAGCUUAAUUGUGACGCUGGCCACGUUACAAUUACGCUAUACGUCGAUGGGUCUUUUAAGGUCCGGCGUUCGGUGCGGUUACGUCACUGUCCAGACUGAGUUACGUUACUGUUGGGUUGUUGCGUCGACGUCGCCGCCAGUGGUGCUACGCUAGUUUUAGGUCACUACCGGUACAGUGAUGCUACGCUCGGUUAUUUAGACCACUACGAGUGCGGUUCGUAACAACCUAAUGCAGUUUCAUGACGGUCGAAGCGGUGCUUAACAUCCGAACGAUAUUAUAUUGCGUGGAGAUACCACUAGAGUAUCGCGGUACCAACAUGGCGACUUGUCAGGUGAUUGGGACAUGCGGAGCUGUUAUUGGCUUCGACUCCUUGUGGUCGGACAUUUAAUAAUUUGUACACUGCAUAUGAUUAUCCUUCAGGAUUUGAACCAUAUUUUCUUUGAAGAUGUUUCAUUGAUUAUGUCCGCGUAAAUUAAAGUCUUAUAACUAGCCCAUUUUUGGAUGUGAUUGAGCUGUUGUUUGUAUUGCAUGCUUUUUGCACCUUUUCUAUUUGCACCUCGUUGUAUUAUUUUUGUCUUUUUGUCGUUGUUGUCGUGCACAUGUGUAUGUGCAUUCGUUGUUUCAUUUUUGUCUACGGGGGGGUUCUUUAACCUGCGUGGACAGUAAC